rnacentral:rRNA from 1 species
UACGGGGGGAGCAAGCGUUGUUCGGAUUUACUGGGCGUAAAGGGCGCGUAGGCGGCCAGCACAAGUCAGUUGUGAAAUCUCCGAGCUUAACUCGGAAAGGUCAACUGAUACUGUGCGGCUAGAGUGCAGAAGGGGCAACUGGAAUUCUUGGUGUAGCGGUGAAAUGCGUAGAUAUCGAGAGGAACACCUGCGGCGAAGGCGGGUUGCUGGGCUGACACUGACGCUGAGGCGCGAAAGCUAGGGGAGCGAACGGG